UGACCGCUGGCGGCGUGCCUAAUACAUGCAAGUCGAGCGAACAGACGAGGAGCUUGCUCCUCUGACGUUAGCGGCGGACGGGUGAGUAACACGUGGAUAACCUACCUAUAAGACUGGGAUAACUUCGGGAAACCGGAGCUAAUACCGGAUAAUAUAUUGAACCGCAUGGUUCAAUAGUGAAAGACGGUUUUGCUGUCACUUAUAGAUGGAUCCGCGCCGCAUUAGCUAGUUGGUAAGGUAACGGCUUACCAAGGCAACGAUGCGUAGCCGACCUGAGAGGGUGAUCGGCCACACUGGAACUGAGACACGGUCCAGACUCCUACGGGAGGCAGCAGUAGGGAAUCUUCCGCAAUGGGCGAAAGCCUGACGGAGCAACGCCGCGUGAGUGAUGAAGGUCUUCGGAUCGUAAAACUCUGUUAUUAGGGAAGAACAAAUGUGUAAGUAACUACGCACGUCUUGACGGUACCUAAUCAGAAAGCCACGGCUAACUACGUG
rnacentral:rRNA from 1 species